rnacentral:rRNA from 1 species
GAUGAACGCUGGCGGCGUGCCUAAUACAUGCAAGUCGAGCGAACGGACGAGAAACUUGCUUCACUGAUGUUAGCGGCGGACGGGUGAGUAACACGUGGAUAACCUACCUAUAAGACUGGGAUAACUUCGGGAAACCGGUGCUAAUACCGGAUAAUAUUUUGAACCGCAUGGUUCAAAAGUGAAAGACGGUUUUGCUGUCACUUAUAGUUGGAUCGGCGUUGCAUUAGCUAGUUGGUAAGGUAACGGCUUACCAAGGCAACGAUGCAUAGCCGACCUGCGAGGGUGAUCGUCCACACUGGAGCUGAGAAACGGUCCAGACUCCGACGGGAGGCAGCAGUAGGAAAUCUUCCGCACUGGGCGAAAGCCUGACGGAGCAACGCCGCGUGAGUGAUGAAGGUCUUCGGAUCGUAAACUCUGUUAUUAGGGAAGAACAUAUGUGUAAGUAACUGUUCACAUCUUGACGGUACCUAAUCAGAAAGCCACGGCUAACUACGUG